AACGAACGCUGGCGGCAUGCCUAACACAUGCAAGUCGAACGAGACCUUCGGGUCUAGUGGCGCACGGGUGCGUAACGCGUGGGAACCUGCCCUUAGGUUCGGAAUAACUCCCCGAAAGGGGUGCUAAUACCGGAUAAUGUCUUCGGACCAAAGAUUUAUCGCCUUCGGAUGGGCCCGCGUUGGAUUAGCUAGUUGGUAGGGUAAAAGCCUACCAAGGCGACGAUCCAUAGCUGGUCUGAGAGGAUGAUCAGCCACACUGGGACUGAGACACGGCCCAGACUCCUACGUGAGGCAGCAGUGGGGAAUAUUGGACAAUGGGCGAAAGCCUGAUCCAGCAAUGCCGCGUGAGUGAUGAAGGCCUUAGGGUUGUAAAGCUCUUUUACCCGGGAUGAUAAUGACAGUACCGGGAGAAUAAGCACCGGCUAACUCCGUG
rnacentral:rRNA from 1 species